UACAGAUUUCGUCCCUAUUUCAUUAAUUCCUAUUAUUUGCUGUUUUCUCCUCUCCACAUUUCACCAGUGUAACCAAGUCCCUGCAGUAAAUUCAUUCCAUCGGACGCUGAUACAGGUGUUAAGAGCGCGCGUGGCCAGAAGAGUGGUCUUCUGCCCAGUCUGGAAGCUUGGCCAGAGGAACUGGUGUUCUUGUGUACUGAGGUCAUCUUUCAAAAGUACCAGACGGUUUUUCGUCCUUCUCACCCAAACGUGACGUUUCCUGGCAGCCAUUCCACCACCAAAGUGCCAGGAAAGGGGACUACAAAUGCCUCCUAAAAGUACAGGAUAGGGGAUGUCUCUAUCAGGGAAGAAGGAAGGGGAAAGCCCACCCCUUCUGGCCUCAAAAAAACUGCGGGAGGAAGGAGGCUGUCAGAAGCAGGGCUGCUGAGCCCAGCCUUUGUCUCGACUCAAAUGCCGAUAGGCUGUACAGUGAGAAUCUUCAAGAGUGUGUGAAGCCAGGCACGCGUGUGGUUAGUCAGAAGAAAUGGUUGCUGGAAAUGCUGGUCCUCAGAAUGACAUCUGCUGGGUGGCCUCUCAGAGGGUGGGAGCUGCUUCCCUCCCAAGUCAGGCUCUGCCUAAGCGAGGCUUAGUGAUGGAAGCUACUGUUUAUUACCCACCAACUCUGCGCCAGACGCUGUGUUCCGUGCCUUACCCAAACCACCUCCUCAGCACAACGUGUGGCAGGAAGUGAGCAUCCUGGUCCCUACUGACAGAUGAGAAGAAUGAGGCUGAACAAGGUCCAAGAACAUUCCAAGGUCACACGGAGGGUAAAUGGCAGAGCCUAGACCUGAAUAUGGAUCUAGGUGACACACGGCCUGUUACAGGUGCAGGCGAAGAAUAAAGACAGAGACAGGUACAUUCUGCCCCCACCCACCCCACCCUUGGGUGCCCGAGCUGGCACAGAGCAAGACAGUCAUGGCUCUGGAACUUUUUCUCCCAAGGGCUCCAGGGGCUCAAGAGAGAACAGGGCACUGCCUGUCCCCAGCCACCACAGCAAGGGUCCCAGGGAAAAACCAUGUCUGUGGCAGGGAAUAGUCAAGUGGACAGAUGACUUUGCCUCCAAGCUGGACCGUUGUUUAGGGACAGGAUUGUCCUCCUAGGGAACACCGGCCAUCCCAGGUGCUGUGGACUGAAUUGCGUCUCCUCCAAAGAUGCUGAAGUCCUAACCCCAGUACCCGUCAAUGUGACUUUUAUUUGGAAACAAGGUCUUUGUAGAUGAUCCAGUAAAGACGAGGUCAUCAGGGUGGACCCUAAUCCAGUAUGGCUUGUGUUCUUAUGAAAAGAAGGAAGUUGGACACAGAGACAAACACACACAGGGAGAACUCUGUGUGAACAUGAGAGUGGAGAUUGGGGUGAUGAUUCUACAAGCCGAGGAGCCCCAACGAUUGUCAACAAACCAGAAAAAGCUGGAGGAGAGGCAUGGAACAGAUUCUCCAUGACAACCCUCCAAAGGAACCAACACUGCCAAGACCUUGAUUUUGGGCUUUUAGCCUCCAGAACUGGGAUACAAUACAUUUCUGUUGUUUAAGCCACCCAGUCUGUGGUACUUUGUUAUGACAGCCCUAGGACACUGAUACACCAGAGCUCCUGGGAUGUGUGUCCUGCAUUCAGCCCUGUCGUCAGGCCUGGACUGAGAAACUCCAGGGAGCCCUGGUGCCGUCGCCUGACUUGAAAGGACCCAGCAUUGCUGUCUGGUGCCAAGAGAGGCCAGAAGGUGCACAGCCAUCGUCAGGACUGGAUCCCUGCUGUGUUAAGUAAGCACUGUAGCUCAUCUGCCAAGUGGUGGGGUCCCUGGUUACAAAGAACCAGACGGAAAUCCAAUUGCACUCUCGAGGCUGCUACAGGGGAAGACGGUGUUUGUGUCCUGUGCUAUUCCAGGGAUAAUUAGCAUCAGAAGAUUAGAUUCAUAAUGCCCCAUUCAUUUUCUCCGCUCGUCACUGGUGUCUGGUGGAGAAUUGGAGUUCUUAAUCCCGCACGCUCUAAGUGAAUGCAUAUUGAACAGUUUUGACAGCUUGGAAAUUUCGUUGCAGGUACUUGAUGACUUCCCACGUCAGGAUCAAUUUGCAGCCUUGUUUUUUCAGCUGAUUAGGUCCCAUCUAAUUUUCUUGAGCCAGGGUUUCAGAGAAUCCGGCGUCUUCCAUCUCUACCAUGAAGGGAUGCAGGGUGGUGAUGGUCCCAGGGAGGCUGGGUUUGAGAUCUGAUAUCCAGAAUCACUGAAUCCACCAGGACUCCUCUUAUGUUUGCUCAAGGAAAAAACAGUGAACUCUCUACUAAAGAAAAUUACACAAUGCAGCUUUGGCCCAGAGAUUCUGGGAGAAGUCAGCAAGAACAUACACAGAGCUUCUAGCUUGGACUACACAGAGGACAGAGGAUGAAGAAUAAAGGAUGAGAGUGUGGAUGUGGCUCCUGUGCACACCCAGCUCUACCAUUUCCCUCUCUAUAGGACCUUGGGCCAAUUACUUGCACUUCCUAAGUUUCCUCAUCAAUAACGUGGGGAUCGUUGUAAUAGAAACCUUAUACGGUUGUUGUGAAGAUUAAAUGAAAUACUACAUGUAAAAGUUCUCUGCUUGGUGCCUACAGCAUAGUAAGCGUUCAAUGAAUGUUAACUUUGAAGCAAAGUUCCUCACGGAAAAAAGACAAUUCCUCUUCCUUCACCUUCCUCUCCCCCCUCCUGCGUCUCCUCCUUUUUCCCUGUUCUCUAUCCUCAGUCAAAGAAAGUCUACAGCACGGUCCAGCAGAAAUGCAGGGAGAGCCACAUGUGUCGUUUUGUUUUCUAGUAGCUAUGUUAAAAAGGUACAAAAAGAAAAAAACAAACUGGAAGAUACAGAGAACAGAUUGUUGGCUGUCAGAGGUCAGGAGUCGGGGGGAGGUGUGAAAUGGGUAAAGGGGGUCAGGAGGUACAAACUUUCAGUUAUAAAAUAAGUCCAGGGGAUGCAAUGUACAGCAUGUGACUAUAGUUAAUGAUACCGUAUUGCCUAUUUGAAAGUUGUUUCAGAGAAUAGAUCUUAAAAGUUCUUAUCACAAGAAGAAAAUUAUAACUAUGUGUGGUGACGG